rnacentral:lncRNA from 1 species
AAUUUAGGCUAAGCAGCAAAGUUAAAUGGAACAAAUCUCAAAACUUGCAACAAAUGAGGAGGCUUGUUGCAGAACAAUAUGUAAACAUCUCAUUUCUCAUUUCUCAUUCUUUUCACAGAUGGAUAGUUGAGGUUUGAUUCCGCCUUCUUCUUAGGUUCCAUUGGGAGGAAAGUCUCAAGCUUGUUGUGUAAACAAGGUGGAGGUAAUCCUCCACGAACUAAUGUUG